GACGAACGCUGGCGGCGUGCUUAACACAUGCAAGUCGAACGGAAAGGCCCUGCUUUUGUGGGGUGCUCGAGUGGCGAACGGGUGAGUAACACGUGAGUAACCUGCCCUUGACUUUGGGAUAACUUCAGGAAACUGGGGCUAAUACCGGAUAGGAGCUCCUGCUGCAUGGUGGGGGUUGGAAAGUUUCGGCGGUUGGGGAUGGACUCGCGGCUUAUCAGCUUGUUGGUGGGGUAGUGGCUUACCAAGGCUUUGACGGGUAGCCGGCCUGAGAGGGUGACCGGCCACAUUGGGACUGAGAUACGGCCCAGACUCGUACGGGAGGCAGCAGUGGGGAAUCUUGCACAAUGGGCGGAAGCCUGAUGCAGCAACGCCGCGUGCGGGAUGACGGCCUUCGGGUUGUAAACCGCUUUCGCCUGUGACGAAGCGUGAGUGACGGUAAUGGGUAAAGAAGCACCGGCUAACUACGUG
rnacentral:rRNA from 1 species